AUGACGCAACCCCCAAUCCUCAGCCGAACUGCCCUGCGACAACCUCCCGGGCACUCUCCCCGCGACAACCUCCAGAGCGGCCCGGAGCGGCGUGCACUGGAAGCCGGAGCCGGUAAGGAGUGCGGCCACCGCCGGCAGACAAGGGGAGGCGUGGUCGAGCUCUUUUGGGUCGGCCAUGGAGGCCGCGCGCAAGCCCGCGGCGCGGCGGCGCCCGCUCCCCCUGCCUCUCCGGCCGCACCGGUCUCCUCCCAAAGGACGAAGUGGGCGCAUGUGUGGCGGCCGCCGGCGAACGAGGCCACGCACGAGCCCGCGGCGCGGCGGCGCGGAUCCCUCUUCCCCCUGCCGGUUUGA
rnacentral:rRNA from 1 species